rnacentral:rRNA from 1 species
AUUGAACGCUGGCGGCAUGCUUUACACAUGCAAGUCGAGCGGCAGCGCGGGGGGCAACCCUGGCGGCGAGCGGCGAACGGGUGAGUAAUGCAUCGGAACGUACCCUGGAGUGGGGGAUAACGCCGCGAAAGCGGCGCUAAUACCGCAUAUGCUCUGAGGAGGAAAGUGGGGGACCCGCAAGGGCCUCAUGCUCUGGGAGCGGCCGAUGUCCGAUUAGCUAGUUGGUGAGGUAAAGGCUUACCAAGGCGACGAUCGGUAGCUGGUCUGAGAGGAUGAUCAGCCACACUGGGACUGAGACACGGCCCAGACUCCUACGGGAGGCAGCAGUGGGGAAUAUUGGACAAUGGGCGAAAGCCUGAUCCAGCAAUGCCGCGUGAGUGAUGAAGGCCUUAGGGUCGUAAAGCUCUUUUACCAGGGAUGAUAAUGACAGUACCUGGAGAAUAAGACUCCGGCUAACUCCGUGCCAGCAGCCGCGGU